CACGCUUAGCAAGCAAGAGGUGCGCCGUAUUAUGAGCUUAUCCCAUUUCGAUAAAAAGUCAACGGGAAGGUUUUGGAAAUCCGCGUUUCACCGCUGCUACAAGAUGAGAACUAUUUAAGAAAAGCCUCAGUCCUGAAAAAUUCCACACACGGAUCAUGGCUGCACAGUUCCAUUUUUGUGGACGUUGUCCGGUGUUUAAUACUGUUUAUUUUGUCUGGUGCAUCGAAAAUGUGCAGCCGUGAAGAACUGGAUUUUAAAUUGCGGCAAGCGCUUGAGCAAGUGCGCGAGGAGGUUCGUCGUGUGCAGGAUGAGCAGAAACAUCGCUUAAGGGCAAUGGAAGAGAUGAUGCAGUGCCGGAGCGAGGAAGAACGCCGACGAACGGAUGCCAGUUUGUGUGCCUUAAGGGAGCAGAUUGCUGGAUUCAAGGCGGAGUACGAAGAAUAUUUGUUUCGGUUCACCAUGAGUUUAUGACGCAGAGCUGCGCUGAACUUGUUCCAGGCGGAAAUUCAGGCUUUACGCGAUUGGCAGAGAAGUAUCCCGAGGAAUUAGUGCAAGCCUGCAAGGAACAUCAGAUUGGGCGCGCUUAAGAUAUCCAAUUUCGCUUCUGGAUUUUCGGCGGAUGUUAGCAGUUUUGCGCAUAAAUUCAGAAUAUCUGUACGGUUGUAUUUGGCACCCUUCUCACGAUUGACGCCGCAGCGGAGACAGCACUUCUAAUGUUAUCGCCAUGCUAGACUUCGGUCACAAAAAUUUCCAGGAGAUUAGUUUUUCUCAGUUGAAUUAUUUCAUUGCGAAGCACCAAUUUUCAGAUCGGUAUUCACACAGUGAUUGCACAUUCUGGUACCUGGCAAUGGUCGGUC